rnacentral:rRNA from 1 species
CGAAAGGUAUGCUAAUACGGGAUAAUAUAUUUGAGAGGCAUCUCUUGAGUAUCAAAGGUGAGCCAGUACAGGAUGGACCCGCGUCUGAUUAGCUAGUUGGUAAGGUAACGGCUUACCAAGGCGACGAUCAGUAGCCGACCUGAGAGGGUGAUCGGCCACAUUGGAACUGAGACACGGUCCAAACUCCUACGGGAGGCAGCAGUGGGGAAUAUUGCACAAUGGGCGAAAGCCUGAUGCAGCAACGCCGCGUGAGUGAUGAAGGCCUUCGGGUCGUAAAACUCUGUCCUCAAGGAAGAUAAUGACGGUACUUGAGGAGGAAGCCCCGGCUAACUACGUGCCAGCAGCCGCGGUAAUACGUAGGGGGCUAGCGUUAUCCGGAUU